rnacentral:rRNA from 1 species
GAAAAGGGAAUAUGUCCUAUUAGGUAGUUGGCGGGGUAAAGGCCCACCAAGCCAAUGAUGGGUAGCUGGACUGAGAGGUUGAACAGCCGCAAUGGGAUUGAGAUAUGGCCCAUAUUCCUACGGGAAGCAGCAGUGAGGAAUUUUUCACAAUGGACGAAAGUCUGAUGGAGCAAUACCACGUGAACGAUGAAGGUCUUCUGAUUGUAAAGUUCUUUUAUUUAGGAAAAAAAGCGCGCUAGGAAAUGAGCGCGCCUUGAUGGUACUAAUUGAAUAAGUGACAGCUAACUAUGUGCCAGCAGCUGCGGUAAAACAUAGGUCACAAGCAUUAUCCGGAUUUAUUGGGCGUAAAGGAAGCGUAGGCGGGGAGGCUGAUCCAUUGUUAAAGGCAUUUGCUCAACAAAUGUGUGCGAUGGAGAUCUCCUCCCUAGAGUUAAUCAGGGGGUACUGGAAUUCAAUGUGUAGCGGUGGAAUGCGUAGAUAUAUUGAGGAACACCAGAGGCUAAGGCGAGUACCUGGGAUAUAACUGACGCUGAGGCUUGAAAGCGUGGGGAGCAAAUGGGAUUAGAUACCCCAGUAGUCCACGCCGUAAACGAUGAGCAUUAGGUAUUUGAUGUUAGGUCGAGUGCUGUAGCUAACGCGU